rnacentral:lncRNA from 1 species
UGCAAUAUCCAAUAUCCGUAAGAAACGAAACAAAUAACAAAUACUAAUAUUUUAGGAACAAAUAUCCGAUCUAAUCCAUUUAUACAUAUAUGUACAUAUAUUUCAAGAGGAGUAUUUACGGCGUGUAUACACAGAAAAUGUCAAUAUUAGCUAAGUACCCUACCGAUCCUUUCGGCACUAUUGAUUUUUUGAUAAUUCGAUAUUACCCUUAUAUAGUACGUACAGAACUUCUCUCUCCGGCAUUUUCUUCAAAUUCUCUGUAUUCUUUUCUUGAUCUUGAAUAAGACUGCAUCCACCACAUCACUCCUCAUUUGCCUUCCCUUCUUUCCAUCCUCAUUCAAUUUCAUGUAAGCUCUCAAUGAAAAUCACAGGAAGAAGAAACAAACAUGCCUACAUGCCUUUGUCGCGAACAGAUCGUCGAGGCUAACCGCUAGAUGGAGCGGUGUCUCGCGUGAGGUAACGUCGUGGUGGUUAAGGACGGCGGAGUUCUGAUCGGGGACUCGUUUUUGGCUCAGUGAGUUGGAUUCGGUGUGGAUCUCCUCUGGAUCUCCGAGCUUUGGGACGGAAGAGAGAAGACGAGAGAGUGAAGCGUGAUCUCCCAAGACGGCGUAGUGAACGGGACUGUGAGCGUAAUCAUCUGGUUUGAUAGAAGGAAACUUGGCCCUUGUAGACGCCGAAGAAAGACGAUCUCCGGCGAGCGUCACUGUGAAAAUUGUAAGGAGAAAUGAAAAAAAAAACUAAAUCUUCAGAAAGUGAACGUUUCUACUUCGUCUUCUUCAAUGGAAGCUGAAACGGAUGUUGGUGGAGAGUAAUUUAAUUAGUUUGAGGAGAAACUAUCGACAUUGAUAAAAGAUAAAAAGAAAUAGUGAGAGUGAAUUUUGUCAGCGAUGAAGAAGUUGUAAAAAUGAAGAUGAAGAUUUGACUUUCUCUUUCUACCGUGUUAAAGGAAGAAUGACAGAAUAGUCAAUUUAAAUUGAUUUUGGCAGAUAAAAUUUUAUUUUUCAGCAUGUUAGGAUAGUUUGUUAAUUUUGUCUUUUUCAUAUAUAUUCAACUAGUUGACUCUUUAAACAAUUGAUUAACUACCACGUAUAAACUAUAAAAUUAUUAAAUUAUUAUAUCUGAA